rnacentral:rRNA from 1 species
GACAGAGGGGGCAAGCGUUGCUCGGAAUCACUUGGGCGUAAAGGGCGCGUAGGCGGCGUGACAGUCACCUUGUGAAAUCUCCGGGCUUAACUCGGAACGGUCAAGUGAUACUGUCGUGCUAGAGUACAGAAGGGGCAACUGGAAUUCUCGGUGUAGCGGUGAAAAUGCGUAGAUAUUCGCAAGAACACCAGUGGCGAAGGCGGCUUACUGGGUCCGGUUCUGAACGCUGAGGCGCGAAAGCGUGGGGAGCAAACAGG